rnacentral:rRNA from 1 species
UAUGGCGACCGGCGCACGGGUGAGUAACACGUAUCCAACCUGCCGAUGACUCGGGGAUAGCCUUUCGAAAGAAAGAUUAAUACCCGAUGGCAUAGUUCUUCCGCAUGGUAGAACUAUUAAAGAAUUUCGGUCAUCGAUGGGGAUGCGUUCCAUUAGGUUGUUGGCGGGGUAACGGCCCACCAAGCCUUCGAUGGAUAGGGGUUCUGAGAGGAAGGUCCCCCACAUUGGAAUUGAGACACGGUCCAA